UGAAAAGCCCCGGGAUGACUUGUGGAUAGGGGUGAAAGGCCAAUCAAACUUCGUGAUAGCUGGUUCUCUCCGAAAUAUAUUUAGGUAUAGCGUUGUGUCGUAAUAUAAGGGGGUAGAGCACUGAAUGGGCUAGGGCAUACACCAAUGUACCAAACCCUAUCAAACUCCGAAUACCUUAUAUGUAAUCACAGCAGUCAGGCGGCGAGUGAUAAAAUCCGUCGUCAAGAGGGAAACAACCCAGACUACCAGCUAAGGUCCCUAAAUCUUACUUAAGUGGAAAACGAUGUGAAGUUACUUAAACAACCAGGAGGUUGGCUUAGAAGCAGCCAUCCUUUAAAGAAAGCGUAAUAGCUCACUGGUCUAGUGAUUUUGCGCGGAAAAUAUAACGGGGCUAAAGUAAGUACCGAAGCUGUAGACUUGCGCACAACUUAGAUUAUUUAAGUUUAGAAUAUGAGAAACUAAGUUAUAUUUUUACUGAUUUUUAUAGAGUAAAGAUAGAAAUAAAACUUAGUAAAAUCAGUAAAAAUAUUCUUAGGCUAAAGUUAAGUAGUUUAAGUUGUGUGCAAGUGGUAGGAGAGCGUUCUAUUUGCGUCGAAGGUAUACCGGUAAGGAGUGCUGGAGCGAAUAGAAGUGAGCAUGCAGGCAUGAGUAGCGAUAAUUAAUGUGAGAAUCAUUAACGCCGUAAACCCAAGGUUUCCUACGCGAUGCUCGUCAUCGUAGGGUUAGUCGGGUCCUAAGUCGAGUCCGAAAGGGGUAGACGAUGGCAAAUUGGUUAAUAUUCCAAUACCAACAUUAGUGUGCGAUGGAAGGACGCUUAGGGCUAAGGGGGCUAGCGGAUGGAAGUGCUAGUCUAAGGUCGUAGGAGGUUAUACAGGCAAAUCCGUAUAACAAUACUCCGAGAACUGAAAGGCUUUUUGAAGUCUUCGGAUGGAUAGAAGAACCCCUGAUGCCGUCGAGCCAAGAAAAGUUUCUAAGUUUAGCUAAUGUUGCCCGUACCGUAAACCGACACAGGUGGGUGGGAUGAGUAUUCUAAGGCGCGUGGAAGAACUCUCUUUAAGGAACUCUGCAAAAUAGCACCGUAUCUUCGGUAUAAGGUGUGGUUAGCUUCGUACUAGGAUUUACUCCGAAAGCGAAGAAACUUACAACAAAGAGUCCCUCCCGACUGUUUACCAAAAACACAGCACUCUGCUAACUCGUAAGAGGAUGUAUAGGGUGUGACGCCUGCCCGGUGCUCGAAGGUUAAUUGAUGGGGUUAGCAUUAGCGAAGCUCUUGAUCGAAGCCCGAGUAAACGGCGGCCGUAACUAUAACGGUCCUAAGGUAGCGAAAUUCCUUGUCGGUUAAAUACCGACCUGCAUGAAUGGCGUAACGAGAUGGGAGCUGUCUCAAAGAGGGAUCCAGUGAAAUUGUAGUGGAGGUGAAAAUUCCUCCUACCCGCGGCAAGACGGAAAGACCCCGUGGACCUUUACUACAGCUUGACACUGCUAUUUGGAUAAGAAUGUGCAGGAUAGGUGGGAGGCUUUGAGUAUAUGACGCCAGUUGUAUAGGAGCCAUUGUUGAGAUACCACUCUUUCUUAUUUGGGUAGCUAACCAGCUUGAGUUAU
rnacentral:rRNA from 1 species